UCAUGGCGACAAUGGUUCGGUUUAGCUUAGUUCUUAUUUGUGGAUUAUUUGGACUUACAAAUGCAGGUGUCCGAGUAAUACGGUCCCCGCAGUUCGACAUUAGUGGAGCCAGUUCGAGCGCUUUUUCUGGACUUCGAGGCAUUUUAAGUGGAUUUCAAGCUAGACCACCUACAUUUGAAGGAGAUUACGGCUAUGGCCAAGGAGAAGGUUAUGAACAAGGAGGAGGUUUUGGCCAAGGGGUAGGCUAUGGACAAGGAGGAGGUUUUGGCCAAGGGGUAGGUUAUGGACAAGGAGGAGGUUUUGGCCAAGGAGGAGGUUAUGGACAAGGAGGUGGGUUCGGAAGUGGAGGAGGUUUUGGGCAAGGAGGAGGUUACGGCGAAGGAGGUGGAUUCGGAAGUGGAGGAGGUUUUGGGCAGGGAGGUGGAUUCGGUUACGGGCAAGGUUUUGGUAAAGGCCAAGGUGGCUUAAGUUUUUCUAAAAGCGUUAGUAUUGGCUUAGGAGGCGGGGCGCAGUCGGGCUCAAGCGCAUUCUCAUUUGGAAAGUGAGAGUGUAUGAAGACUGAAUAUAGUACAUAUAAGAAAACUUAUGUAACCAAAGUUUGUUCAAAUAUAUUUUUAAAUACAUAUUGAGAACUCAA